UGGGGAAUAUUGGACAAUGGGCGAAAGCCUGAUCCAGCCAUGCCGCGUGUGUGAAGAAGGUCUUCGGAUUGUAAAGCACUUUAAGUUGGGAGGAAGGGCAUUAACCUAAUACGUUAGUGUUGUGACGUUACCGACAGAAUAAGCACCGGCUAACUCUGUGCCAGCCGCCGCGGUAAUACAGAGGGUGCAAGCGUUAAUCGGAAUUACUGGGCGUAAAGCGCGCGUAGGUGGUUUGUUAAGUUGGAUGUGAAAUCCCCGGGCUCAACCUGGGAACUGCAUUCAAAACUGACUGACUAGAGUAUGGUAGAGGGUGGUGGAAUUCCCUGUGUAGCGGUGAAAUGCGUAGAUAUAGGAAGGAACACCAGUGGCGAAGGCGACCACCUGGACUAAUACUGACACUGAGGUGCGAAAGCGUGGGGAGCAAACA
rnacentral:rRNA from 1 species